UGGCGGAGCUCAGGAUCCUGGGAUCUGUUCCCCGGCACCCUGGGCUCUGGGGUCUGUGCCGCUGGAAUCGUGCUCCCGGGGCCACACAGCCCCUU
rnacentral:pre_miRNA from 1 species